rnacentral:lncRNA from 1 species
UCAUUUUUAUAUUUUCGGGAUGACCUCGGGGCCUCGCCGGCUGUUUCUGCUCCAGGAGAUCUUACGGGAUCCUGGUCAUUUUUGUAUUUUCGGGAUGACCUCGGGGCCUCGCCGGUUGUUUUUGCUCCAGGAGAUCUUACGGGAUCCUGGCUGUUUUUGUUUCGGGGUGACCUCGGGGCCCCGCCGGCUGUUUUUUGUUUUGGGAGAUCUUUUGAGAUCCGCCAGCCUUGUACCUCUGAGGUCUCUAUGUCUCAGGGUCUUCUGAGAGAUUCAGGAUUUUUCUGCAAAAUAAGAACUUACACAGAGCACAUAUAACGAGGAUGCUCGUUGUUAAUUCAAUGAUAUUCAUCAAUCAAUAAUAUGUCGCACAUGUCACUUAGUUUCAUUUUUCAGAUACAUGCAAGUAUUAACUCAUGCAAUUUUAGAGAUGCAAUGAACAAUAUUUUUGCAUGUGUAAAUUUCUCCAGGAUUUUUCAAUAUAUAUGAAAUAUAAGCAAUUAUCAGGAUAUCUAAACUCAUAGAGGUAUAUUUUGAUUAAAUUUAGUCUUACUAUUUGCAUGUGAAGCAUGCCUUCGAAUAAUCUAUGAGAUCAUUUGUAUUUAAGAUAAGUAAUUAAGGGCUUGUAAAUUUCUCCGACAGCAAUUAUGCUAAUGACACAUGGCAAGUUAUAUGUACCUUAUUUCAAUCAUCAACCAAUUCUGCAUAGGAAAAAUCACUAUUUGACAGCAUGGAGAAGUUUCAUAGCAUGGAGAAGUUUCGUAGCUUGGACCC